rnacentral:siRNA from 1 species
GGGAACAAAGGUGAGAGGUGGU